AUGCUUCAUCGACUGGGCCCCCCAGGCGCCCCCCACCUUGACCGUCCUGUCCUGUCGCUCCUUCCGGACAGGCUGACCCCGAGAGGGCGCUCAAAGGACACCCUCGGAGCUGGGCAAAUUGCAGACUUUACAAUAUUCUCGAGUUCUACCCUGAUUAUUACACAGGUACGUGGAAUUUUGACUAUCAUUUUAUUUUAUUUAUUUAUUUAUUUUUAUUUAUUUAUUUAUGAUAGUCACAGAGAGAGAAAGGGAGAGAGGCAGAGACAUAGGCAGAGGGAGAGGCAGGCUCCACGCCGGAAGCCUGAUGUGGGAUUCGAUCCCGGGACUCCAGGAUCGCGCCCUGGGCCAAAGGCAGGCGCCAAACCGCUGCGCCACCCAGGGAUCCCUUGACUAUCAUUUUAAAUGGAGAAGUUCCUUAGGGUGAAUACUAGGAAUUUCAACUGUGUCACUUAAUGUUUUGGUUUGGAAAAUGUCUAUGACUUCCUCCUCAAUAGAGCAGAGGGGAGUCACUCAGUGACAUAAAGGACAUGAGGGAAUCUAAAUAUUGAAUUUUUAUUUCCCUCUUACCCUACUUGCUAGUUUGUCCAUGUUUGAGCUCUUUGAAAGCAUUCAGAAAUGGGCCUUUGACAUAGCAGCCUGACUUUUCAAGCACCUUGGCAGUGGAAGGGGGCCAGUCAGCAUCUCUCCAUUUUCUGGGCUCACGUGAGUGUGUACAAUCAAGGUAAAGAGCUUCAGUGCAAAAAAAAAAAAAAAAAAGAGCUUCAGUGCUCAUGCCAAAUCUGUUCAUAAAUAAAAUAUCUUCCCACUCCCUACCUCCUGCUUAU
rnacentral:lncRNA from 12 species